GCGGUAGAAGAUGGCCAUGCGUCCCAUUAGCUGGUUGGUGCGGUAACGGCGCACCAAGGCCGCGAUGGGUAGGGGCCCUGAGAGGGGGAUCCCCCACACUGGUACUGAGACACGGACCAG
rnacentral:rRNA from 1 species